UAAAAAUGUAACUAGGUGUGACCACAGGUGACCUGAUUCAGCCUAGAAGUCAGCCCUGCUCUCAGGGACAGAGAGGAUCAGAGGGUCUGCAGAGUUCUCUUCCCAUCUAAAUUAUUCUAGAUGGUGACCUGUGGCUCCUGAGGAAUUUCAGAGGAAUUGUGCCGUGCCUGUUUAGGAAAAUGUGUAGAAAAUGGCCACCUGCAGUCCUGCUUUUCCACUUGAGAUCAGUAAACUGGAGUUACUUCCGAUUUCCACAGCCCAAGGAUGGAAACCUUGUCUUCAGUCUUCCAUUUACUGUUCUUUAGCUUUCAUGGAUCUGAAAAGCAAAAGACAGAAUAUCCUCUAGAGAGCCGACAGAUGAUUGUGAGAAUAACCUGUCACUCCUAAUCUUGGUUUUAAAGUG